UACGAGGGGGGCGAGCGUUGUUCGGAAUUAUUGGGCGUAAAGGGUGCGUAGGUGGCGGGGUAAGUCAGGUGUGAAAUCUCGGAGCUCAACUCCGAAACUGCACUUGAUACUGCCUUGCUUGAGUACUGGAGAGGAGAUUGGAAUUUACGGUGUAGCAGUGAAAUGCGUAGAUAUCAAGUGGAACACCAGUGGCGAAGGCGAGUCUCUGGACAUUUCCUGACGCUGAGGCACGAAAGCCAGGGGAGCAAACGGG
rnacentral:rRNA from 1 species